ensembl:lncRNA novel transcript
GAGAACUAUUUGACUUUCUGGCUUCACAACUGAGUCAAGGAAACUUAUUUUGAACUAUUUACAGCCUUUAAUAAGCCAUCAAACUACAGUCAGUCAUGCAACAGGAGCCUCUGAUGACGACCCUUUCUGCUGGGAACCCUUAAAUAGGCCUCUGAGGGAGCUCUGACUGCGGCUUCCCCCAAAACAGCGCCCCCUGUCAGCAGGAGGCAAUAAUGGAGCUAUUUUUUUCUUUCGUUGUCCAAGUGGAAGAUGUUAAAAAAGAAACCCUCAAUGUACAGCAAAACUGCAUUUCCCAAGCUCCUCUUCUCUCAAUGGGUCACAUGACUUGUUCUAGCCAAUAGAACGAGGGUGGAAGUAAUGUGACCACUUUCAGGUGUCCCCUAAAGUCUCCUGUGAGAUCUUCCAAUCUUGCUCUCCUCACUCUGCAUGGCUGGAAAUGAAUA